CUUUUACUUGUUGACAAGUCAAACACUAAGCCACAAAUCUGCCAAUAUCUCUCUUCAUUCUAUUCCACCAGAAGUGUGCCUUCAAAUCUUUAUACAUCUUGGUUCCACCGUGGUGAACCGUAUAAGGUGAGUAGUGAGUAGUGAGCCUCUCUCAAAAUCUCCUCUCGGAUCUCAGAAUCCAUAGACACACACAGUCGGUCCCUGUACUGCGGUACUCCCGAAAUGUCCACAACAAAACCUUCUGCAUGUCCCCUCUCUAUCUGCUCUCGAAUCCUCAACAAGUGAGGGUCUCCACUCUGUUUCUCCUUAAUUCUGUCCAACAGAGUGGACUGCAAGACCAUAGACAGCAGUCUCGC
rnacentral:lncRNA from 1 species